CAGCAGCCACGGUAAUACGGAGGGGGCUAGCGUUGUUCGGAAUUACUGGGCGUAAAGCGCACGUAGGCGGCUUGGUAAGUUAGAGGUGAAAGCCUGGAGCUCAACUCCAGAAUUGCCUUUAAGACUGCCGAGCUAGCAGGUGAGAGAGGUAAGUGGAAUUCCGAGUGUAGAGGUGAAAUUCGUAGAUAUUGGGAAGAACACCGGUGGCGAAGGCGGCAACCUGGCUCAUUACUGACGCUGAGGCGCGAAAGCGUGGGGAGCAAACAGGAUUAGAUACCCCUGUAGUCCCUGUCUCUUAUAC
rnacentral:rRNA from 1 species